UCAUACCUCACAGUUACUAGUUGGAUGACUAGAAAGCAUUUCAAUAUUUACAUUCGAAUUAUCAAAUUUUUUAUUCUUACACUUGCUGUUUUGAAAAUAGGUUUUGGUUGAAUUUUUCAUUUCACUGAAAUUGAAAAAGUAAACAAUUGAAUUGGAUUCAGUUGGAUGGUACCAACGAAAUCGAGCGCUAAGGCCUAUUUCUUAUUGAAUUAACCGACCAACUUAACUUGUUUUGCUAUC